CCUACGGGAGGCAGCAGUGAGGAAUAUUGGUCAAUGGCCGGAAGGCUGAACCAGCCAUGCCGCGUGAAGGGCAGGGCCCUAUGGGCGUUAAACUUCUUUUGUGCGGGAGCAAUAAUGGUCACGUGUGGCCAGACGAGAGUACCGUACGAAUAAGCAUCGGCUAACCCCGUGCCAGCAGCCGCGGUAAUACGGAGGAUGCGAGCGUUAUCCGGAUUUAUUGGGUUUAAAGGGAGCUUAGAUGGGUUGUUAAGGUAGUUGUGAAGGUUUGCGGCUAAACAGUAAAAUUGCAAUUGAUACUGGCAGCCUUGAGUGCAGUUGAGGUAGGCGGAAUUCGUGGUGUAGCGGUGAAAUGCUUAGAUAUCACGAAGAACGCCGAUUGCGAAGGCAGCCUACUAAACUGCCACUGACAUUGAUGCUCGAAAGUGUGGGUAUCAAACAGGAUUAGAUACCCCUGUAGUC
rnacentral:rRNA from 1 species